GCCGGGGUGGCCGAGUGGACCAAGGCGGCGGACUUGAGAUCCGUUGCCCUCCUGAGGGUGCCCGGGUUCGAAUCCCGGCCCCGGCG
rnacentral:tRNA from 1 species